GACGAACGCUGGCGGCGUGCUUAACACAUGCAAGUCGAACGGAAAUUCCCUGCUUUUGUGUGGUGCCCGAGUCGCGAACAGAUGAGUAACACGAGAGUAACCUGCCCUUGACUUUAGGAUAACUUCAGGAAACUGGGGCUACUACCGGAUAGGUGCUCCUACUGCAUGGUGAUGGUUGGAACGUUUCCGCUGUUGGGGAUGGACUCAAGGCUUAUCAGCUGGUUGGUGGGGCAGUGGCUUACCAAGGCUUUGGCGGGUAGCCGGCCUGAGAGGUUGACCGGCGACAAUGGGACUGAGAUACGGCGCAGAAGGCUACGGGAGGCAGCAGGGGGGAAUAUUGUACAAUGGGGGGAAGCCUGAUGCAGCAGCGCCGCGUGCGGGAUGACGGCCUGCGGGUUGUAAACCGCUUUCGCCUGUGACGAAGAGGGAGUGACGGUAAUGGGUAAAGAAGCACCGGCUAACUACGUG
rnacentral:rRNA from 1 species